CCUUAGUAGCGGCGAGUGAAGCGGCAAGAGCUCAAAUUUGAAAUCUGGUACCUUUGGUAUCCGAGUUGUAAUUUGAAGAUCACAAUCUUGAAAUUGGUCCUUGUCUAUGUUCCUUGGAACAGGACGUCACAGAGGGUGAGAAUCCCGUGCGAUGAGGAUACCUUUUUCAUUUAAGAUGUGUUCGACGAGUCGAGUUGUUUGGGAAUGCAGCUCAAAGUGGGUGGUAAAUUCCAUCUAAAGCUAAAUAUUGGCGAGAGACCGAUAGCGAACAAGUACAGUGAUGGAAAGAUGAAAAGAACUUUGAAAAGAGAGUGAAAAAGUACGUGAAAUUGUUGAAAGGGAAGGGUAUUUAAUCAGACUUGGUAUUUAGCUAUCUCUUCUCCUUGUGGGAGGGGCUCUAGCUUUUUACUGGGCCAGCAUCAGUUUUGGUGGUAAGAUAAUCGCAGUCGAAUGUGGCUCCUCGGAGUGUUAUAGCUUCUGUUGAUGUUACCUACUGGGACUGAGGUCUGCGGCUUUGCCUAGGAUGCUGGCGUAAUGAUUAAACACCGC
rnacentral:rRNA from 1 species